GUUGUCACGCCAGUGGCACUUGCCGGGUAGCUAUGUACGGACAGGAUAACCGCUGAAAGCAUCUAAGCGGGAAGCCUCCCUCAAGAUGAGAUCUCGCACUGACCAGUAAUGCGGUCAGUCUAAAGGUUCGUCGAAGACUACGACGUUGAUAGGCAAGGUGUGGAAGUGCAGCAAUGCAUGUAGCUAACUUGUACUAAUUAACCGUGAGACUUUCCAUA
rnacentral:ncRNA from 1 species